CAGUGACGCGCCACCAUGCCCGGCUAAUUUUUGUAUUUUUAGCAGAGACGGGGUUUCACCAUCUUGCCCAGGCUGCUCUUUAACUCCUGACCUCGUGAUCCACCCACCUCGGGCUCCCAAGGUGCUGGGAUUACAGGCGUGAGCCACCGCGCCCGGCCAAAACAAACACUUUUACGACAAUUGAAAAAUAGAAGUUUCCAAUUCAAUUUUGCAACUAAAAAAUAAUAAUAAUGUGGUGCCUUCAUGUUAAACUUUGGAAAAAGCCAGGGAAGUGGCUUGCUCUGGUGAAUAAAUUCUGUAGACCCUUAAGGCUGUUCGCAGCGUACACCAAGACUUCCGAGGCAAGUGGGGGCUCCCCCUGGCGGCUGCGCCGGGUGGCUGCUCCGGGAUUGUGCGGACCUCCGAGCUACACCGUCUCCAACCAACAGAAGCCAGCAGGAACCUGCCUUAGAUGUGGGAAUGAGACAACACAACUUCUCCCAUAGGCCUGGUGGUCAGAGAGGCUGGAUCAAGAAUCUCCACAGCCCAGCGAGAAGCCACGCGAACACACCCCUGUGUGGGUAUCCGUGACCUGGCGGCCUGCAGAACUCCUGGGCCAGAGACGUCCUCAUCCUGUUGGAAUAUCCAGGUAUCUCCACUCCGAAUAUCCUCAUCUUCCUGGAACCCCUCUUUUUCUCCUAACAUUCUCUUAAAUGAAAUUCCAUAUCUGCUACAACACAGAAAGAGAGGCGGAACAAGAAAAACUGGUGAUCCACUAAUAAGAAGGCCCUGGAGCCUCUCGAUGUUUAAUCUUCUCAAGGGAUGAGAAUGUGUCUCGUACUUCUCAGCAUCUGAAACGCAGCCUUCGCUAAUGGGUCAGUUUCACUGGACGUACUCCCAGGAUCAUAGAUGGCAGCCGGGGAAGGCAGUGAGGGUGGAAAUGUCUCACUAGGCUGAAUUGAAGUGAGGCCUACCCGUUGCCUCCUUUGCAUGUGUUUAAGUAUUAGAAGAAUCUAGUAAUUUGCCCAUAAGAGAUAAUCAAACAAGAAAACAAAGGUGUAUGUGCAAAGAUUUGAAUCUUAGCUUUAUUUGAAAUAACAGAAAAUUGGAAGUCAAUUCAUGUCCAUCAGCGUGGGGCUGGCCACCUGCCAAUUCAUGUCCAUUUCCCUGGAGGGAAAUGACCCAACCAUGGAGAGAACGAUGUUCACUGAUUGCAUUGGCGUGGCAAGAACUCCAUGGCAUGUUGCAUCAUGAAGAAAGCUGCCCCGCAAAAUGAGAUGCGAUUGACGUUGAUGUGUCUGUACUUGUGCAAAGAGAGAUUUGGGAAAGGAAGUUUACUGAAGUGUUAACAAUGGGUUACAAGUUUUGAAGUGAUUUUAAUUUCUUUUUUUUUAAGUUUCUGUUAGGCUGGGAUUUUCCCCAUAGAUAUGCAUCAUCUAUGUCAGCAAUCCCCAACCUUUUGGGCACCAGGACAGGUUUCGUGAAAGACAAUUUUUCCACGGACCAGGAGUGGGAGGGACGGUUUCAGGAUGAUUCAAGCACAUUACGUUUAUCAUUAGAUUCUCACAAGGAGCAUGCAAGCUAGAUCCCUUGCAUGCCCAGUUCACAAUAGGGUUCGUGCUCCUAUGAGAAUCUGAUGUUGCCACUGGUCUGACAGGAGGUGGAGCUCAGCUUCGCUCACUUGCCCCACCACUCACCUCCUGCUGUGCAGCCCAGUUCCUAACAGGCCACAGACCAGUAUACCAGUCUGUCACCUGGGGGUUGGGGAUCCCUGAUUUUUGUAAUUGGAAGUAAAGUUGUUCGCAUUACUUUAAAAUAAAGACAGUACCAUCGUUA
rnacentral:lncRNA from 1 species